rnacentral:misc_RNA from 1 species
UUUCCGUAGGUGAACCUGCGGAAGGAUCACUACAGAGUUUUUGCGCUCACUGGUAGAUCUCCUACCCUUGAAUCUUUAUACCUUAGUUGCUUUAGCAGGCCCUGGAAACACUUGGGCCCCGGCUUAUGCGUGCCUGCCAGAGGAAACAAAAUCUGUCUUUAGUGAUGUCUGAGUACUCUAUAAUAGUUAAAACUUUCAACAACGGAUCUCUUGGUUCUG